GGGAGUAAUUGUGUAACUGUGUCUUCAUAGGAAGGAGAGCACCUUUCCCCAGUGUUUAAAUCGGAGGUUAUAGGCUCCCCAUGGAAGAAAAGAGAGCUGUGGGGAAGAUAUCCAUCCCUUUCUCUCAGCAUGGGAAGGACCCAAGUUGUGUUCCUCUUCUAAGAGUUCUGGAGAAAUAUUAAUGUUUUGAAGACGUUUACAUGAGCAAACAGAAAUGAGUCUGGUUUUAUCAAUUAAAGCCUUAUUUCUGACUUUAUGCCACAAUCAAUGGCAUUGUGUAAAAACAGCCAGAUGGAAAAUGGAUGUGCAGAAGCAGUACCUUCCUAUAAUUCAAUUUAAUUAGUUUAAUGGCAUUUCUCUGGCAGUAUGAUGGGCAGAGGCUGCUUAGCCUGGAUUCCUGGAUGGCAAAAUAUAGCUUAAGAUGUUAUAUCAAAGAGAUUCUAAGGGAAGAAAACAGUGAAAAGAACAUUUGCUGUCCCCUAGCAGAGGGUUAGCCAAUUAAUCACUGUUAUUGUUGACUAAGUAAUUUUUUCUUGACAGCUGUGCCCUUCAAAAUGACAUCAGGGGAAACUGAAUCCAUUUGCAUUACUUCAGCUGGCCAAAUCACUGUAGAAAGUUUAAACUAGUUCUGAAAAAAAACAACGAGGAAAACAGGGACAUCAGUGAACUCCGAAUGACAGAAUAAAUGGGCUAUUCUGA